AUAUUGCCGUCGAGCGACGAGCGAGCGAAGCCUUUGCCCUCGAGUGACGCCACACCACAUCCUUCGCCCUCGCAGCCGCCGCCGAUCCCCUCCCUCAAACGCCACCGCCCGUCGCUGCCGCCCCCGCCACCUUCCGUCGCGGCCGCCCCCGCCACCUCCCGUCGCGGGCAGGCGGGAGGAGCCCUGCCCGGCCAUGGCGACACCGCCGGCGGCCUCCUCCUACCCCUCACCUUCUCUCCCUCUCCCAAGGGAGGGAAGGGAAUGGAAGGAUCCGGCGGCAGGGGGGCAGCGCCCAGAUCCGCAGCCGCACCGGCGGGCCGCCAUCCCUCGAGAUCGUCCAUGGAGGUCCGACCCGGCUGCAGCCAUGGACUGAGACGCCCGAAACCCUAGCUACGCGUGGAGGUCCGACGCCUCAACCUCCAAGGAAAAGACGCGCGCCGGCUGCAGGCCAUCUCCGGUGACCUCCGACCAUUGUUGCAGGGAAGGAGGCCAGCUGCUGCUCCUACUGCUUCGGGUGGACGAGGACGAGCCCUCCCUCAUCGCUGCUGCGGCUGCCUACUCCCUCCUCCUACCCCGGCGACGAGGUGUAUGGCGCCGGCACGGCCGUGCUCGAGCGCCUCCAGGACCCCGCAGAGGAGAAUCAAGGCGUGGCGCCUCCUGGACUCCGUCCGUCGCCACUUUGUCGACGACGUCCCUGCCGCCGGGCAGGAAGGUAUUAGAUGACGUACUCGAUGCCCACCUGCAAGGUCAGCCUCCCAUCCUCCCGGUCCUUCCCAGCAAAUAGAUCUGGUAAAAUUUGAAUAAUGAUCUGGACUUCAACGAUUAAUUAAUCUCCUGGACUCUAAUGGGAACUUUUUUGUUACUGAACUUCGUAGUUGGUUUGCAUAAAAUCUGAAGUCUGUCUAACAUAUUUUACUUGAAUACAGUUCGCUUCAGAAUUCUACUUUAUAUAUGUGAGCAUUACUUUCUUAGGGUAUCUGAUUUACUUGGAGGAGUAUUUAAUUACACGUAUGUGUAGUACAAGUUGUUAUUUCUCAAUAAUUUUGAUGGCCUCUAAGCAUCAUUGUUCAUGUCUAUUAUUAUUUAUGAAAGCUACAUGUCUUGGAGGGAAGUUGCGAGUUGCGACUUGAGGGAGUGAGCUCCCAUUCUCUCAAUUUCUUGGCAUGGCCAUGCUUGCAGUACUGAUAAGGCAUGCUUCAAAAAUGGAGGGAGGACGUGAGCUGCCGCCUUGGUUCCUGUCCGCACCAGCCGCCACAGUAUGUAAUCAGGCCUCCACUAUCGUCCUCUGAAUUUUGGAUUACAUGCAUCUACAAGAGCGUGAGAGCUUGAGAGGGUAGCACAGUGCUACAUAGAAGUUAAUUUUUCUCCAUGAAGUUGAUCUGAUGCGAAGCUGCUGCCAGAUUGAAGGUUAAUUGAGUUCUCAUCUCCAAAAUGUUUGCAUUCUAAGUAUCCUCUUUGAUUCAGUGGUUCCAUGAUGCUACAGUUCACUUCUUUUGCACAUUAAAAUUUUCUGAUAAACUAUGCCAAUAUCACAUGCAUAUGCAUUUUUUUAGUGAUGUCUGAUUAUUAAUCCAUGCUACAAUAAAUAGGUCUGGUGCCUUGCUUUUCAUAAUUAAAUUUGUAUUUAUUUUCUUAUAUUCAAACAAAUGUUUGUAGAGAACAGUGUUCGGUGACUUAGAUAGCUUUAGUGAGUUGAUGGUUUGACUUGCUAGGUAUGCCUGCAAGGAGGACAUUGUAAUUUGGUCCAACAAGUACACACAACAAUCUUCUGAUUGUUCAACAUUCUUUAUUGCGUGAAUUUCUGACAUAUCAGGAUGCAGGUACAUGACACUAUUGUGUUGUCUGCAGAGGUUCUCAUUCUGAAAGAAACUGCAACUAUGCAAGAGCUUAUUGACGGAGAUUAUGAAAUUUGCAGUUCAAGUUCUGGACAUCAGAUUGGAUAUACUUUACUAAAGGUGCACCAAUCGGCCCUCCAUCUCCUAGGGUGAUGGCACAAUGACAUCGACAGCGGCAGCAAUUACGCACAGUACGGUUAAAAACUUUUUAUUUACUUGGGUCUGCUACCUCAGAUUGAUGCGUCAUGCUCGGGCAAUAAUAGUCCAAGCUUCAUCGUGUAAUAAGCUCACCUGCGUGCACAGGUAAGUGGUUCUGGUACUGCUGCUGUUUUUGUUUGUUAUAUUUGCUGCCAGUCUGAUUGCUACUAUCUACUGUACGUGCUUAUUGUUUGGCUUUGAAGAGAUAUUUGCUCGAUGUUAUGCCAAUUAAUUUCAAACAUAUGGUAAACUGUGAUUUGCUCCUCAAUUUGUAUUGUAUCUGAGAUCUCAUUUGUGCGUAGAAUAUUAGCUUCUUCAUGGCAAUUUCAAUGUUACAUGUACCAUAGUAAGCCAAUCAAUAUCUGCACCAUAUUGGUCUGAUGCUUUCUUACCCUCUCAUCCUUAAUUAAUAGGCAUUUUCCAAUAGGAUCAGCUUUGCUGUGCAAACUCACUUGUAUUUUCCAUGUUAUUUGCUGGGUAUCUUGAAGGUUCAUGGUCUGAAUAUAAAUAAGAUUCGGUUCUUCUCUCAGAAACUUGUCCUUCUGCUUAUAUUUGCAUUUGCUAUUGAUGAUGUAAUUUGAGCAAUACCCAUAGCGUUUUUACCAAGUUUGGAUAAAAGCAUAUAUAAGUCUGAUUUUAACAAUAUUUUGUGAUCGACUAUGUGUUUGCCCAAACUUUAUUAGAUGACAUGGAAUGCUUGAUUAAUGAUAUCAUUUUAUUUUAUUUUCUUUGUGGUUCCUGGUGUGAAGCAACAAAUUUGAAUAAAAAUAUUUAUUUAUUUAGAAACAUUUUUAAGUUUAUCUGUAUAUAUUGAUAUUAGCUUGACAUUUGAACAAGAAAUAGUUUCUUAAUACGUACUUUUGAAUUUUAUGCACUUGUAUGUACACUGCUACUAACGGUGCUCUUGAUCAUGUCAUACAUGAGUACUAAUGGUGCAUGCCUUAAUAUUGGAAUGGAAUGAAUACCAGCUUAUGUAGAGAAGCGAGGCCUUUUCAUAUUUGAGGAAGAAUGUCAUGCAACCAAGAAGAAUAGGAUGGGUAUUCUAGUAAUCCUGUGGAUUAGUCUCUAUAGUUGUUGGCGGCCUAUAAAGCAGAGGAGCUAUGGAGAGGAGGGUUAGGAGGGUGGCGAGCCAGCGGCGUGAAGAGAAAAUGUUAGGGUCACAAUAGCAAACGAGUUCAUCUUGCCUGGGUUGCAACUGUUAAGAAAGAAGAUAGAGCUUCAGGUGAGGCAUAUCGUCCCUAGGAAUUUGUUGGUCUCGAGGAUUGUUCCAGGAAGCACUUCUGAUGACAACAUGACGUUGGGCCUCGGGGACAUGGUAAGCUACGUACUUAUGUCACAAUUUUCAUCCAUUCAGACUUGUUUUUGUGAUUCUUGUACUACCACUGAUCCAUAUAUGAUCUCUUAUACUCAUCAUUUAAUCCUGCUUAAAUUAUAGUACUAAACGUGGUUGUACUUUAAAAGGUCUCAAACUUGUGCAGGUAACCAACAGAAACAUAUUGAAGCACAUUGUUGUCAUCAUCCACUUAGUGCCCGCCGGGUCACGCUCAGCAGCAACGGUGCACGGCGAUGGGAAAGAAGCAGGGGUGGCGGGAUCAUCACCAGUGGGGUCAUCGGGGAGAAGAUGGAGGCAGAUAAGAAAGGAACGGGCUCGGUUGGGUGUGGAAAGGAGAAUGAGAGAGACAACGAUGAUGUGGUGCUGCACCACUGC